UUUUUUCCCGCAUAGCGCACUUGCGCUAGGGACGUGCGGACUUCCCUGGGUAUGUGAACAGCAGUUGAUCUGUGCUAGAGAAUAUGGACCCACGGUGUGUAGGUUUUAACGCUGCCUCUGAGUACGUCCAAAGUGGGGUUUUGCUACCGUUGAAUUUCCCAGCCAUCAGCUGAGAUAGAAAGUCCAGUUCUGCUGUCUCUAGAAUUUUCCCACCAAUCCAUUUUCGUGGGAAUUUCCUGCGAUUUCCAUCUCUGUGCUGGAAGGAUCCUAGCUGCUGUGAUAAAAUGUGCCAACAAAUGUCUCAUCUCUCUCCAAUAGUCCUCAGGAAAUAUGUUUAAUAAAAAUAGUUCUGGUUUGAAAUGGA